UUGUUUUUUAUGUCCCUUAACGUCACUUGUGAUAUUUCUUUUAGGUUUUUGCGAGAACGGUCAUCUGCAAAAAUCUGGAUGUGGCUUCAAGGGUUGCUCGUACUGAUGCUCUGGACUGCAUCACACUGGAUGGUGAUCAAGUAAGCAAGAAAGGUAGUAUGACUGGAGGAUUUUAUGAUCACCGAAGAUCAAGAUUAAGGUUUAUGAAUAUCAUUACGCAGAAUAAAGGCACUAUUCGCAUUAGAGAGGAGGAAUUGGAGAAAGUUAGAUUUAAUCUACAGGAGAUAGACCAAAAGAUUAAUGAACUUGUGGCUGAGCAGCAGAAGAUUGAUGCCAAGCGUGCUCAUGACAAAUCUGAGAUAGAACAGCUUAAGCAAGAUAUUGCUAAUGCUAAUAAGCAGAAGCAGUUGAUUUCUAAAGCACUUACAAAAAAGGAGAAGUCUGUUGGGGAUGUCCAGAACCAGAUUGAACAGCUUAAGGCUAGUAUCGCAACAAAAAAUGCUGAGAUGGGCACUGAGCUAAUUGAUCAUUUAACACCAGAGGAAAAGAAACUCUUGUCAGAUUUGAACCCUGAAAUCAAAGACCUUAAAGAGAAGCUUGUUGCUUGCAAGACUGACCGUAUUGAGACUGAAGCAAGGAAAGCAGAACUGGAUACCAAUCUUACUACUAACCUUAGGAGAAGGAAACAAGAGCUGGAGGCUGUAAUAUCGGCCGUGGAUUCUGACUCUCUGGUUGGUGAGGCUGAAUCCAAGGGGCAGGAGCUUAGUGAUGCUAAAAUGUUGGUUGAUGACUUAACAGAGCAGCUUAGAAGAGUUGCUGAAAAUAUAAAUGAUCGAAUGAGGCAAAUUACAAAGAUUAAAGAUGAAUUGAAUAAAUUGAAGUCUUUGGAGGACGAAUAUGAAAAGAAACUUCAGGAAGAAGCAAAAGAAUUAGAGCAAUUGCUGAGUAAAAAAAAUACAUAUGCAGCUAAAGAAGAAGAGUAUGCCAAGAAAAUUAGGGAACUGGGACCAUUGACAUCAGAUGCUUUUGAGGCGUAUAGACGAAGGAAUAUAAAAGAUUUGCACAAAAUGCUGCACAGGUGCAAUGAGCAAUUGCAGCAGUUCAGUCAUGUAAACAAGAAAGCACUGGACCAGUAUAUAAAUUUUACAGAACAACGAGAAGAACUUCAGAAAAGACAGGCCGAACUUGAUGCAGGAGAUGAGAAAAUUAGGGAGCUGAUAUCAGUGCUAGAUCAGCGGAAGGACGAAUCUAUAGAACGCACUUUCAAAGGUGUUGCUAGGCAUUUUCGGGAAGUAUUUUCUGAACUUGUGCAGGGUGGCCAUGGUCAUCUGGUUAUGAUGAAAAAGAAGGAUGGUGAUCAUGAUGACGAUGAAGAUGAGGAUGGUCCUCGUGAAGCAAAUCCAGAGGGGAGAGUAGAAAAAUACAUUGGAGUGAAAGUGAAGGUCUCAUUUACUGGACAAGGGGAAACACAGUCCAUGAAACAGUUGUCUGGGGGUCAAAAAACUGUUGUUGCCCUUACUCUUAUCUUUGCCAUACAGCGAUGUGAUCCUGCUCCCUUUUAUCUAUUUGAUGAGAUUGAUGCAGCUCUGGACCCACAGUACAGAACUGCUGUUGGAAGUAUCCAUAUUUAUGUUUGCUACCAUAUUGUGUGAAUUGAUUGGUCCUGUGCAUUUCAUCCAUCUCUAUUGACUGCAUACCUCAUCGUUUUAUAUUUGUCCCCUUAAAUUGGAGGGGAGGGAAAAGAAGUGGUUAUUAGGACUGAAUGGAAUGCACUAUCAUUAGAUUCCGUUUCAUUCUAUCCUAUUUUACAAAUUAUUCUUAACUAUCUCGGUAGACAUGAUUCGUCUCCUAUAUUAUUUUGAAAAUCUAUUAUCAUAUCUUAAAAGAGUAUCCUUUAGGGUUAAUUUCCCUAUUUAGUAUAUCAUGUCAAGUAAGUAUAUGUAAGCCAUAUAAUGAUAUAUAGUAUCUAUUCUCUCCGUUUUGGUGGUUCUGGUGAGAAAAAGCUUUUGUUAUGGUUGUCUGUGUUUCUGGUGCCAUUGAAAUAUAAAAAGUUAAUUCAUGCUUGUGAUAUUCUUUCUGAAUGACACGUAGAUUUCAGGGUUUUAUCAUGUCUCUUUUGGGAUUCUUAUCUAUUGAAAUUUAAAAAAAUAAUCCAUGCUUGUGAUAUUCUUUCUGAACUGCAUAUAUAGAUUUCCUGUUAUAUCGUGUCCCUUUUGGGAUUCUUAACUAUCCGUAGAUAUGAUUCGUCGCUUGGCUGACGUAGCAAACA